UGAUCCUACGGGACGCAGCAGUAGGGAAUCUUCCACAAUGGACGAAAGUCUGAUGGAGCAACGCCGCGUGAGUGAAGAAGGGUUUCGGCUCGUAAAACUCUGGUGGUAGUGAAGAAAGAUAGAGGUAGUAAAUGGCCUUUAUUUGACGGGAAUUACUUAGAAAGUAAAGGGUAAAUAAGUGCCAGCAGCCGCGGUACUACGUAGGGGGCAAGCGUUGUCCGGAUUUAUUGGGCGUAAAGCG
rnacentral:rRNA from 1 species